rnacentral:rRNA from 1 species
CGGGGCGCAGCAGGCGCGAAAACUUUACAAUGCAGGAAACUGUGAUAAGGAAACACCGAGUGCUCACAUCAAAUGUGGGCUGUCCACAUGCUUAAAUCGCAUGUGUUAGCAAGGGCCGGGCAAUACCGGUGCCAGCCGCCGCGGUAAUACCGGUGGCCCGAGUGGUAGCCGCUUUUAUUUGGUCUAAAGGGUCCGUAGCCGGUUCGGGCAGUCUAUUGGUAAACUCGAAUGCCCAACGUUCGAUCUUUCAGUAGAUACUUCCGGACUAGGAACCGGGAGAGGUAAGAGGUACUGUAGGGGUAGGAGUGAAAUCUUGUAAUCCCUAUGGGACCACCUGUGGCGAAGGCGUCUUACCGGAACGGGUUCGACGGUGAGGGACGAAAGCCGGGGGCACGAACCGGAUUAGAUACCCGGGUAGUCCCGGCCGUAAACGAUGCUCGCUAGGUGUCGGGUAUGGCGUGACCGUAUCCGGUGCCGUAGGGAAGCCGUGAAGCGAGCCACCUGGGAAGUACGGCCGCAAGGCUGAAACUUAAAGGAAUUGGCGGGGGAGCACA